UUCCUCCGUUCCUCCUCACAGCUGUCCUGAACACCCAGCCUCCGAGCUGCGCUGCGUUACUACCAGUUUUCAGAUUGUCUUCCUAGGAAGGAAGAGCUCCGAAUUUUCUCUCAACCGUUCUUGUGGCCAAGAAGCGGGAUGGGGACAAGAGGCCUGGUGACCCCCCAAGCUGAAGUUAAAGAAAACCCUGGCUGUUGUGACUCUGCACUUAAAGCACCACCCUGAGCAUCAAAGUGUCCUGGCUUGGAUUCCCAGACCUGGAUGGCUGGUUCAAUGCCCAGGGGCAAAUUAUCCUGCAGUGAGGAUUAACAACACAAACAAACAAGGAAACAAACAAAGAAAAACAGAGGUGAAAAACUGGAGGGGAAAGCUUUAGCCACCUGUGCAGUCUUCCCCAGAAAUGUCAUCUCAAUGAACCAGACUGGAAUUUUCCAGUCAAGCACCAGGUAGGUGAUCUGUCUCAUGGACCUCUCCAUCUCUCUGAUACCCUCCCACCCCCCCCCCCCCCACCUCAAGAUACAAUGUGCAUAGAAAACCCUUGCUGUUCUUGCCCCGCCCCCUCCACAGAAGAUGGCCAGAGUAAUAAUAAUCCUUUCCUUUGUUAACAGCACCUCUGGCUCAGCCUCUCCCUAUUAAAACCUUCCAUUCUGUGUGGCCCCUGGGAGUUCUGCUCUAGUUGCUAGAGAGGAUGCUGCCUGGUUCAUAAAUCUUUUAAUAAAGCCAAUUAAAUCUUUA